rnacentral:rRNA from 1 species
AUGUGGGUGGCUUAUCUGUCGUCUUUUCCACUAUCAAUCCCAAAAAAAACCAACUAUGAGUUGUAUAAAGUUGCCAGAGUACGAUUAACAUCUGGAUUUGAAAUCAAUGUUUAUAUACUUGAUAUUGGCCAUAAUUUACAAGAACAUUUAGUAUUAGUAAGAAGAGAAAGGGUUAAUGAUUUACCCGGUGUGAGAUAUCACAUUAUUCGAGGAACCCUAGAUGUUGUCUCGGUAAAGAAUCGAAGACUGGAUGGUGUGAAGCAAGUCGCAACUCAUAAUUCAACGAAAACUUGCCCAUUUUUCUCUAAAGAAAGGGAUAGCUUACCCAUGUGCACAUAUGGACUUUGA